rnacentral:rRNA from 1 species
UACGUAGGGGGCAAGCGUUGUCCGGAAUCAUUGGGCGUAAAGAGCGUGUAGGCGGCCAGAUAAGUCCGCUGUGAAAUCUCGAGGCUCAACUUCGAGCUGUCGGUGGAAACUGUCUGGCUAGAGUCCGGAAGAGGAGAAUGGAAUUCCUGGUGUAGCGGUGAAAUGCGCAGAUAUCAGGAAGAACACCUGUGGCGAAAGCGGCUCACUGGACCAUAACUGACGCUGAUGCACGAAAGCUAGGGGAGCAAACAGG